rnacentral:rRNA from 1 species
AGAGUUUGAUCCUGGCUCAGAACGAACGCUGGCGGCGUGCUUAACACAUGCAAGUCGAGUGCGCGCCUGUAGCAAUACAGGUGGCGCACGGCGCACGGGUGCGUAACACGUGGGUAAUCUGCCCUCUGAUGGGGAAUAACCCGCCGAAAGGCGGGCUAAUACCGCAUAACAUUCCUUGGAUUUCGGUCCGGGGACUCAAAGGCGUAAGUCGUCGGAGGAGGAGCCCGCGCACGAUUAGCUAGUUGGUAGGGUAAUGGCCUACCAAGGCUUUGAUCGGUAGCUGGUCUGAGAGGAUGAUCAGCCACACUGGAACUGAGACACGGUCCAGACUCCUACGGGAGGCAGCAGUGGGGAAUCUUGCACAAUGGGCGAAAGCCUGAUGCAGCGACGCCGCGUGGGGGAUGAAGCAUUUCGGUGUGUAAACCCCUUUCGAUCCGGACGAAUGCCCGCAAGGGAGUGACGGUACGGAUAUAAGAAGCCCCGGCUAACUACGUGCCAGCAGCCGCGGUAAGACGUAGGGGGCCAGCGUUGUUCGGAAUUACUGGGUGUAAAGGGUUCGUAGGCGGUGCGGCAAGUUGGGAGUGAAAUCUCUGGGCUUAACCCAGAGGCUGCUUCCAAAACUGCUGUGCUUGAGUGUGGGAGAGGCGCGUGGAAUUGCAGGUGUAGCGGUGAAAUGCGUAGAUAUCUGCAGGAACACCCGUGGCGAAAGCGGCGCGCUGGACCACUACUGACGCUGAGGAACGAAAGCUAGGGGAGCAAACAGGAUUAGAUACCCUAGUAGUCC